UGCUAGUCUGAUGGUAGUGGAUCCCCAGAACUUAUUAACCUUAUUGUCACCAACGUUGGCAUACAACCCCCCACUGCUAAAUUUGACUGGCUUUUA
ensembl:misc_RNA Y_RNA Y RNA